rnacentral:rRNA from 1 species
UCGCAGCGGCCGCUGCAGGUAAGCAACACGAGAGCUUGCAAUAUGGCCGUCGUCCCCCUCUUCCUCGUCCUCGUCUUAGCCGUCGCUACCAUGGCCAUAUCCGAGCAGGAGACGACCACGCACAUCAAGGUGUACUGGCACGACGUGUACAGCGGGCCGAGCCCGACGGCGGUCGAGGUUGCGCGUGCCCCGUCGACCAACUCGUCUAAGACCCUGUUCGGCGGGGUGUAUGUCAUCGACGAUGCGCUUACAGAUGGGCCCGACCUCAACUCGUCGAGGCUGGUUGGGCGCGCGCAGGGCAUGUACGUCAGCUCCGGCAAGGACGAGCUGGCGGUGCUCAUGAACAUGAACUUCGUCUUCACCGCCGGCGGCAGGUACAACGGCAGCAGCAUCGCCAUCAUGGGCCGGAACUCGGCGGCCUCCGCUGCCAUCCGCGAGAUGCCUGUCAUCGGCGGCACCGGCAUCUUCCGCUUGGCCCGUGGGUACGCGCUGGCCACAACGUACGCCUUCAAUAUUAGCACCGGCGACGCCACAGUCGAGUACAACGUCUUCAUCCGCCACUAG